rnacentral:rRNA from 1 species
UACAGAGGGUGCAAACGUUGUUCGGAUUUACUGGGCGUAAAGCGUGUGUAGGCGGCUUGGCAAGUUGGAUGUGAAAUCCCGCGGCUCAACCGUGGACGUGCAUCCAAAACUGCUUCGCUAGAGUCUCGGAGAGGAAGGUGGAAUGCUUGGUGUAGAGGUGAAAUUCGUAGAUAUCAAGCAGAACACCUGCGGCGAAGGCGGCCUUCUGGACGAUGACUGACGCUGAGACACGAAAGCGUGGGGAGCAAACAGG